CGUGUCGUGAGAUGUUCGGUUAAGUCCGCUAACGAGCGCAACCCUCGCUGUGUGUUACAAGUGUCACACGGUACUGCCGGUCUUAAGCCGGAGGAAGGUGGGGAUGACGUCAAGUCAGCAUGGCCUUUAUGUCCUGGGCUACACACACGCUACAAUGGCCAACACAAUAGGUUGCUAAGCCGCGAGGUGGAGCCAAUCCUCAAAGUUGGUCUCAGUUCAGAUUGCAGGCUGCAACCCGCCUGCAUGAAGAUGGAGUUGCUAGUAACCGCAGGUCAGCUAUACUGCGGUGAAUACGUUCCCGGGGCUU
rnacentral:rRNA from 1 species